GUCAGGGGAGUCUUAGCCAUGAUCACUAAGGUGGCUCUCCCAGGGCGAGGCUGGCUCAUUGCACUCCGGGCCGCUGACCUCUGCGAUUUCCCCACAUGCGGGAAACUCGACUGCACAAUUUGUGGUAGUGGGCGCUCUCCCCUGAUGUUUAGCGCCUU